ensembl:lncRNA
GUCAGCCCCUCAGACCUCCAACAGACCUAGGUCAGCCCCUCAGACCUCCAACAGACCCAGGUUCAGCCCCUCAGACCUCCAACAGACCUAGGUCAGCCCCUCAGACCUCCAACAGACCUAGGUCAGCCCCUCAGACUAGGUCAGCCCCUUGACCUAGUCAGCCCCUCAGACCUAGGUCAGCCCCUCAGACCUCCACAGACCUAGGUCAGCCCCCUCAGACCUCCAAACAGACCAUAGGUCAGCCCCCUCAGACCUAGGUCAGCCCCUCCCAGGCCAGUCAGCCCCAGGUCAGCCCCUUCGGCCUAGGUCAGCCCUCAGACCUAGGUCAGCCCUUCAGACCUAGGUCAGCC